rnacentral:rRNA from 1 species
ACACCGGCAGCUCUAGUGGUAACAAUUUUUAUUGGGCCUAAAGCGUCCGUAGCCGGUUUAAUAAGUCUCUGGUGAAAUCCUGUAGCUUAACUGUGGGAAUUGCUGGAGAUACUAUUAGACUUGAGACCGGGAGAGGUUAGAGGUACUCCCAGGGUAGAGGUGAAAUUCUGUAAUCCUGGGAGGACCGCCUGUUGCGAAGGCGUCUAACUGGAACGGUUCUGACGGUGAGGGACGAAAGUUAGGGGCGCGAACCGGAUUAGAUACCCGGGUAGUCCUAACUGUAAACGAUGCGGACUUGGUGUUGGGGUGGCUUUGAGCUGCUCCAGUGCCGAAGGGAAGCUGUUAAGUCCACCGCCUGGGAAGUACGGUCGCAAGACUGAAACUCAAAUGAAUUGGCGGGG